rnacentral:lncRNA from 1 species
CGGCCAAAUCACAGCUCUGAGUGGGGAACCACAUUUGAACAGACUAGUCCCUUCUGCCUUCUGGGCAGGUCACAUCUGAAAGAUUAUCCUCUUUGAAUCAGUUUGAAUGUUCUAGUGACCAGGCCACACAGUUUCUCUUGACAUUUAAAAAUAAAGCUUCCAGUCUUGUCACUAAUGGAUUUGGGGUCCAGUACCCUUAAAAUCACCUCAGAGCUGCCUGAAUCCAUAGACUACUUGCAGAAUCACUGGUUUUACUUGGAUCAAGCCAUCUGAGAAGUUUGGCUGAAAUAAAAACUCAAAGCCCCCACAAUAUUGAACCACCAUUCCAGACCCAGCCAAGGUUUGGAACAUAAAGUGAGCUGAAUGAAUCAGCCUGCAGGCAACCCAGAGAAAGUAAUUGUUCAUCCUAGCAGCACGGCUGCUUUUCUGCUUAGCAUCUGAACAAGUUAAUUUGGAAACACAGCCUUCUGGAAAGAAAUGGCGCUUCUCUCAGCAUCCCAUGGAUUCAUGAGCAGCUCCUUGAAUGCAAAUAUUGCCUGAUAUUUUCAUGGUGAGGGAGAAUGGGAGAAACAAGAAAUGAUUACAUUAUUGUGGAUACUUUUAUUCACCACAAUGGAAGUCUUUAAACAUAAAGUUGAUGUACAUUAAGAGGCAAGACCCAGGGCAUAUCAUCUAAAGAAGAUUCCUCCCACUUUUC